rnacentral:misc_RNA from 1 species
UAAAAAAAAUGGAUUACCUUUUGGCCAUGUAUAAUCUAAUGUAAACCCUGUUUAUUUACAUAAGCUACAAAGGCAGGCAAACAACUGUAACUCGAUUUAGUUUCUUCUAGGCACCAGGGCCUGUAACACCUGCCCGAANNNNNNNNNNNNCUUGCUUUGUUCCAUUACCUCCACAAGCCACUCCACACUUUCUUUAAUCCCCAUCCCGUCAUAUGCUGAAACUGCAUCCAACAUGUAAGCCCUCUCCCUCUCAUCCAACUUCUUAAGAUCUAAAUAUUGAGCAACUUCUUCAGCUGAUACGGCUUCAGAAAGAUCCUGCUUGUUUGCUAAUAUCAAAAGGGGGGCUCCUUGCAAAUCCUCAUGCCUCAGAACUUUUUCUAAUGCUGACUUUGAAUCUUCAAAACGAGAAGGACAAGUAGCAUCGAUUCCGUAUACAACAGCAUGAGCCUCUUCGUAAUAUUUCUCCCAAAUCGAGCGAAGACCAGGCUGACCACCCAGGUCCCAGAAUACAAGUUUUGUAUUUGAUACUUCAAUGCGACCAAUGUUAAGUCCAACAGUAGGAACAAUUCGAUCAGGAGGGAGGCCUUCUAAGUUUGAGAACAAUGAUUUCAAUUUCUCCAACAAAGUCGUUUUUCCC